GAUGAACGCUGGCGGCGUGCCUAAUACAUGCAAGUCGAGCGAACAGACGAGGAGCUUGCCCCUCUGACGUUAGCGGCGGACGGGUGAGUAACACGUGGAUAACCUACCUAUAAGACUGGGAUAACUUCGGGAAACCGGAGCUAAUACCGGAUAAUAUAUUGAACCGCAUGGUUCAAUAGUGAAAGACGGUUUUGCUGUCACUUAUAGAUGGAUCCGCGCCGCAUUAGCUAGUUGGUAAGGUAACGGCUUACCAAGGCAACGAUGCGUAGCCGACCUGAGAGGGUGAUCGGCCACACUGGAACUGAGACACGGUCCAGACUCCUGCGGGAGGCAGCAGUAGGGAAUCUUCCGCAAUGGGCGAAAGCCUGACGGAGCAACGCCGCGUGAAUGAUGAAGGUCUUCGGAUCGUAAAACUCUGUUAUUAGGGAAGAACAAAUGUGUAAGUAACUAUGCACGUCUUGACGGUACCUAAUCAGAAAGCCACGGCUAACUACGUG
rnacentral:rRNA from 1 species